GGGUCAGUAGGUUGGUCGUGCCACCGGUACGUACUGGUCUCACUGAUUCCUCCUUCCUGAAGAACCGUAAUGCCAUUAAUUUGGUGUUGCGGGGAAACAGGACUGUUACUUUGAAAAAAUUAGAGUGUUUAAAGCAAGCUAACGCUUGGAUACAUUAGCAUGGAGUAAUGAAAUAGGACGAUCGAUCCUAUUUUGUUGGUUUCUAGGAUUGACGUA
rnacentral:rRNA from 1 species